rnacentral:misc_RNA from 1 species
GUAGGUGAACCUGCGGAAGGAUCAUUAUCACGUAUCCACGUAUAAACCAUUGUGAACUGUUUUUCAGCCUUUGUCGAGAGUGAGGUAGUGGGUUUUCAAACAUAUGAACGCUUCUUGUGAUUUGUCGUUCGUUUGGGAACUCCAAUAUUCAGCUUCGGUUGAGUAUACUCGUUCACUUCAAAGUGUAUUUAUCAAAUCACCUUAUUGUAUUAACAAUUUAAACCCUGUUUAAUGAACUUUGACUGAUUUU